UCUAGCGGUAAACUUAAUAGGACAGUUUUUCGAAGUUUCCGCCUUUUUUCCCCCGUGUUUCCGCGCUUUCUCGACAGCAAACGCGCGUGCGUCGUGCGUUGUUUUUGUGAAAUACCAAACGGGCAGCUGCGCCUCGCAGUCUUCGUAUCUAUUACCGGCGAGGAAGGAACCAAGGUUCACCUGCUUCCGCUGAACAGCUGCAACGUACACACAAAUCCGAGGACACGCCGCACAGGAACCCAGGAAGCUUCUUACAAUAUGGAGGACAACGGAAGGGGAGUCGACAGAAGCCCGGAAGGCCAAGCAAACCGGAACUACGUCUGCGACGUGUGCUCCCUGGCUUGCACCCGUUCCUCGAGCCUGGCAAGACAGACGCAUCUAUGCGGCUCAAACUGUCUGUCAGUGCCCGGACUGCCAGUCCAGUUUCGCCCAGAAAUGCGACCGCGACGAGCACGUCAGGUUGCAGCACUGUCAGUGCGAUAUUUGCGGAAUUACCUUUCCCAAUAGUAACGCACUGAACUCGCAUCUCGUAGCUCACUUAUUGGGGUUAGUGGAAUAGCAACGACGUAAACGAUACGUCGAGCAGUCAGCUAGUAAACGGUUGACGCAGCACUUAAAGGGAACGCGACCGGGGAACGCUAUACGUUUUGUGUGCCUUUACAAGUUCCGCACAAGCGUGAGGACGAUAGCUGGACGCUAGCAUAUCAUUGGUGAAGUGAUAAGCGAGUGCCUUGUGUGUUGUUCAGCAUUGCUAGAGAUCCCGAUCAAAUAAUCAAGCGACGAUCUCCGAUUAUUCGAAAUUCCUAGAUUAAGCGGCAUACUAUGAUGCUCUUUUUACGAGGCUUCCUCUACUUACGUACUAUUGACGCCAAGAAAAACAAUUUUUACGAUAGUAGCUACCGGUGAAACGUAAGCGGAUUGUUCAUUUAACAUAUUUGACUACAGAGCCAGAGUCGCUGCAUUGGAAACGUUUAUCAUUGCUAAGUGAAAAUAUUUACGAAUACUUCUUUUCCUGGUUCUCAUUUCGAAACAUUUUAGCCGUUUGUUUCUUUUGCGCUAAGUUCACGAAAUUCGAAACUACAUUAUCAGUCCUGUAUAAAAAAGACAAUAAAUAUGUGGUAAACAACG